AAACUUUCAACAAUGGAUCUCUUGGUUCCGGCAUCGAUGAAGAACGCAGCGAACUGCGAUAAGUAAUGUGAAUUGCAGAAUUCAGUGAAUCAUCGAGUCUUUGAACGCACAUUGCGCCCCCUGGCAUUCCGGGGGGCAUGCCUGUCCGAGC
rnacentral:rRNA from 3 species